UACGGGGGGAGCAAGCGUUGUUCGGAUUUACUGGGCGUAAAGGGCGCGUAGGCGGCGCAACAAGUCACUUGUGAAAUCUCCGGGCUUAACCCGGAGCGGCCAAGUGAUACUGUCGUGCUAGAGUGCGGAAGGGGCUACUGGAAUUCUCGGUGUAGCGGUGAAAUGCGUAGAUAUCGAGAGGAACACCAGCGGCGAAGGCGAGUAGCUGGGCAAACACUGACGCUGAAGCGCGAAAGCGAGGGGAGCGAACGGG
rnacentral:rRNA from 1 species